UACGUAGGGUGCAAGCGUUGUCCGGAAUUAUUGGGCGUAAAGAGCUCGUAGGCGGUCUGUCGCGUCUGCUGUGAAAACCUGGGGCUUAACCCCGGGCCUGCAGUGGGUACGGGCAGACUAGAGUGCGGUAGGGGAGACUGGAAUUCCUGGUGUAGCGGUGAAAUGCGCAGAUAUCAGGAGGAACACCAAUAGCGAAGGCAGCUCGCUGGGACGUUACUGACACUGAGGCGCGAAAGCGUGGGGAGCGAACAGG
rnacentral:rRNA from 1 species